rnacentral:rRNA from 1 species
AACGAACGCUGGCGGCAUGCCUAACACAUGCCAGUCGAACGAGACCUUCGGGUCUAGUGGCGCACGGGUGCGUAACGCGUGGGAACCUGCCCUUAGGUUCGGAAUAACUCCCCGAAAGGGGUGCUAAUACCGGAUAAUGUCUUCGGACCAAAGAUUUAUCGCCUUUGGAUGGGCCCGCGUUGGAUUAGCUAGUUGGUAGGGUAAAAGCCUACCAAGGCGACGAUCCAUAGCUGGUCUGAGAGGAUGAUCAGCCACACUGGGACUGCGACACGGCCCAGACUCCUACGGGAGGCAGCAGUGGGGAAUAUUGGACAAUGGGCGAAAGCCUGAUACAGCAAUGCCGCGUGAGUGAUGAAGGCCUUGGGGUUGUAAAGCUCUUUUACCCGGGAUGAUAAUGACAGUACCGGGAGAAUAAGCUCCGGCUAACUCCGUG